CCUACGGGGGGCAGCAGUGAGGAAUAUUGGGCAAUGGACGCAAGUCUGAACCAGCCAUGCCGCGUGCAGGAUGACGGCUCUAUGAGUUGUAAACUGAUUUUGUACGAGGGUAAACACCGAUACGCGUAUCGGUUUGAAAGUAUCGUACGAAUAAGGAUCGGCUAACCCCGUGCCCGCAGCCGAGGUAAUACGUAGGAUCCGAGCGUUAUCCGGAUUUACUGGCUUUAAGGGGUGCGAAGGCGGUUUGAUAAGUUAGAGGUGAAAUAUCGCGGCUCAACCCCGGAACUGCCUCUAAUACUGUUGGACUAGAGAAUAGUUGCGGUAGGCGGAAUGUAUGGUGUAGCGGUGAAAUGCUUAGAGAUCAUACAGAACACCGAUUGCGAAGGCAGCUUACCAAACUAUAUCUGACGUUGAGGCACGAAAGCGUGGGUAGCAAACAGGAUUAGAUACCCUUGUAGUC
rnacentral:rRNA from 1 species